UCAGGGGGAGAACCUGCGGAGGGAUCAUUAAAGAGUUAAAAACAACUCCUAAACCCAUGUGAAACCUACCUUUGUUGCCUCGGCAGGUCUGCAACUUACCCUGAGGGUACCUACCCUGUAGGUACCUUACCCGGUAGUUGCGGGCAUAACCUGCCGGUGGUCUACUAAACUCUGUUUACUAUGUCAUUCUGAAUAAUAUAACUAAAUAAGUUAAAACUUUCAACAACGGAUCUCUUGGUUCUGGCAUCGAUGAAGAACGCAGCGAAAUGCGAUAAGUAAUGUGAAUUGCAGAAUUCAGUGAAUCAUCGAAUCUUUGAACGCACAUUGCGCCCAUUAGUAUUCUAGUGGGCAUGCCUGUUCGAGCGUCAUUUCAACCCUUAAGCCCUGUUGCUUAGCGUUGGGAGCCUACAGAUACCCUCUGUAGUUCCUUAAAGUUAGUGGCGGAGUCGGUUUCACACUCUAGACGUAGUAAAUUUUAUCUCGCCUAUAGAUGAGCCGGUCCCUUGCCGUAAACCCCCCUAAUUUCUAAAGGUUGACCUCGGAUCAGGUAGGAAUACCCGCUGAACUUAAGCAUAUCCAUAAAAGCCAGGGAA
rnacentral:rRNA from 1 species